CCCUCACGCUCCGGGAGAGUUGCGUAGCAACCCAUAGUCGCGACUUACUCGAUCUGUUUUGACCAAAAAUAUCUCAAACCAUCUAUCUACAACACAUUAAACCGCCAGAUUCUGCCUCUGAAUCGAUCAUGGAAAAUCCCGACAACCGCUACUCCCACCACCGCCCUAACUCGCCCAAAUCCACUUCUCUCACAACGAACCCAUUGUUGUCCGAUUUCGAAGGAGCAGCAGAGGGUCAGGAAAAUUUCAUCUGGGCCGCUUUCACAGAAAAUUUCCAGGAAGUUCAAUCGGUGUUGGACCGAAACCGGGUUCUUAUCCAGCAAGUCAACGAGAAUCACCAGUCGAAAAUCCAUGACAAUAUGGUCAAAAAUGUUGCUUUAAUACAGGAAAUUAAUGGGAAUAUUUCCAAAGUAGUUUCACUUUAUUCCAAUCUUUCGGCUAAUUUUUCGAAUGUGUUUAAUCAGCCCAACGCUGCUGCAACUGAUUCCAAGAGCAAUACUGAGGAAAACCAGUAACUUGACUUUUGGGCCUUUCAUCUUUCUAAAUCAAGACUCAACUGAACUCGUCAUUCCAACUACCAGCGAGGAGCACCUCACCAUGCUAUCGCACUUCACAUACGUGGCUGCAUGUAUCUUAUCUUGCACUAUUAGGGAUCGAAAUAAUGAGGGAAAAUAUCGAGAAAAUUUCAGACGCUUUCUAAAGAAAUACACUGGUGUCGAUCUCUCUGCUUUCACUGAUGCGAUUGGACAUGAAACAAUGACGACCUUCUGCUUACAUUGUUUGCAUUUGUAGUAAACCCAAUGUCUCGAUGUUCUAAAAAAGCACAUAUCGACUAGCCUCUUGUUCUGCUCAAGUACUUUGGGUGCUCAAUAUGCUGAAGGAACUUGUGUCCAGCUGCCUCAACACCCCAUCAUUCUUUGUGACAAUAUUGGAAAUAUAUAUCUUUGUGUCAAUUCAGUGUUCCAUUCCCGCAAGAAACAUAGAGCGAUUGACAUUUGCUGUUUCCUACAUCUAGUCCAAGGAUCAACUGGCCAAUGCUCUUACAAAUCUACUUUCGUCUGUCCACAUAACUAUUGUAACCUCAAAAAAAUAAAUCAAAUUGUAUCACGGACAUAUUAGAAUUCUUUUUA